rnacentral:rRNA from 1 species
UAAAGAAUUUCGGUUAUCGAUGGGGAUGCGUUCCAUUAGUUAGUUGGCGGGGUAACGGCCCACCAAGACGACGAUGGAUAGGGGUUCUGAGAGGAAGGUCCCCCACAUUGGAACUGAAACACGGUCCAAACUCCUACGGGAGGCAGCAGUGAGGAAUAUUGGUCAAUGGACGAGAGUCUGAACCAGCCAAGUAGCGUGAAGGAUGACUGCCCUAUGGGUUGUAAACUUCUUUUAUAUGGGAAUAAAACAGGGUAUGCAUACCCUCUUGUAUGUACCAUAUGAAUAAGGAUCGGCUAACUCCGUGCCAGCAGCCGCGGUAAUACGGAGGAUCCGAGCGUUAUCCGGAUUUAUUGGGUUUAAAGGGAGCGUAGGUGGAUUGUUAAGUCAGUUGUGAAAGUUUGCGGCUCAACCGUAAAAUUGCAGUUGAAACUGGCAGUCUUGAGUACAGUAGAGGUGGGCGGAAUUCGUGGUGUAGCGGUGAAAUGCUUAGAUAUCACGAAGAACUCCGAUUGCGAAGGCAGCUCACUGGACUGCAACUGACACUGAUGCUCGAAAGUGUGGGUAUCAAACAGGAUUAGAUACCCUGGUAGUCCACACAGUAAACGAUGAAUACUCGCUGUUUGCGAUAUACGGUAA